rnacentral:rRNA from 1 species
ACGCUGGCGGCACGCCUAACACAUGCAAGUCGAACGAAGUAGCAAUACUUAGUGGCAGACGGGUGAGUAACAUGUAGGUAUCUGCCCUUUGGCCUGGAAUAACACGAGGAAACUUGUGCUAAUACCGGAUAAGUCUUUACGGAGAAAGCUUUAUGCACCAUUGGAUGAGCCUGCACUUGAUUAGUUUGUUGGUGGGGUAAUGGCCUACCAAGACUGUGAUCAAUAGCUGAUUUGAGAGGAUGAUCAGCCACAUUGGGACUGAGACACGGCCCAAACUCCUACGGGAGGCAGCAGUGGGGAAUCUUGCACAAUGGAGGAAACUCUGGUGCAGCGAUGCCGCGUGAGUGAAGAAGGCCUUUGGGUUGUAAAGCUCUUUCGUCGGGGAAGAAAAUGACUGUACCCGAAUAAGAAGGUCCGGCUAACUUCGUGCCAGCAGCCGCGGUAAUACGAAGGGACCUAGCGUAGUUCGGAAUUACUGGGCUUAAAGAGUUCGUAGGUGGUUGAAAAAGUUAGUGGUGAAAUCCCAGAGCUUAACUCUGGAACUGCCAUUAAAACUUUUCAGCUAGAGUAUGAUAGAGGAAAGCAGAAUUUCUAGUGUAGAGGUGAAAUUCGUAGAUAUUAGAAAGAAUACCAAUUGCGAAGGCAGCUUUCUGGAUCAUUACUGACACUGAGGAACGAAAGCAUGGGUAGCGAAGAGGAUUAGAUACCCUCGUAGUCCAUGCCGUAAACGAUGUGUGUUAGACGUUGGAAAUUUAUUUUCAGUGUCGCAGGGAAACCGAUAAACACACCGCCUGGGGAGUACGACCGCAAGGUUAAAACUCAAAUGAAUUGACGGGGACCCGCACAAGUAGUGGAGCAUGUGGUUUAAUUCGAAGAUACGCGCAGAACCUUACCAACACUUGACAUGUUCGUCGCGACUCUAAGAGAUUAGAGUUUUCGGUUCGGCCGGACGAAACACAGGUGCUGCAUGGCUGUCGUCAGCUCGUGUCGUGAGAUGUUGGGUUAAGUCCCGCAACGAGCGCAACCCUCACUUUUAGUUGCCAUCAUUAAGUUGGGCACUCUGAAAGAACUGCCAGUGAUAAGCUGGAGGAAGGUGGGGAUGACGUCAAGUCCUCAUGGCCCUUACGUGUUGGGCUACACACGUGCUACAAUGGUAUCUACAACAGGAAGCAAGACUGCGAAGUUAAGCAAAUCCCGAAAAGAUACCUCAGUUCGGAUUGCACUCUGCAACUCGAGUGCAUGAAGCUGGAAUUACUAGUAAUCGUAGAUCAGCGUGCUACGGUGAAUGCGUUCCCGGGUCUUGUACACACCGCCCG